rnacentral:lncRNA from 1 species
GCUCGCAGCCUCGAGGCUGCUGGAAGUCCGCCGGGGAGAGGGGCUGCGCGGCUGUAAUCGAGUCCUCUCUCUCCACAGGGCUUCUCCGCGCUGCCCUGGGCAGCCCUCAGCACUCGGGCUGCGGCGCUCCGGCAGCGGACAAGCGGGGCGCGCUUGCUGGCUUUAGAUUUUUACUCCUCAGUUAAUACUGCAUCACAGUCACUGCCGUAAUGACCUUCAUCUGGGCAAAGCAGCUGGAGAGUCAAAAUAUAGUGAGACUGCACAAAAAGACUGGAGCAAGAAAAUGCAAAGUAUUCCUCUCUCCCUUUCCUGCCAGGAUUCUGCGGUGUUGAGUGGCUUCCAGGCACAAACAUCAUUUCACUUAUCCUGAAAAGCAGCUACAUCCAAGAUGAAAACAGGACCACCGUAUUGGACAACAAGGUUUCUAGUUCCAGGAAUCAAGAUGCUACUCUUUGGAUGGCAAACAAUUUCCCAAGUUCAGUGAACAAGCUUUCUGUCUUGCAAAUAUUUCAACUGAGACAGGGUUUUCAAUUUCUAUGGUUAACACAGAGAAAGAAAAUCUAAAAGUAGAAGCAUAAAUUUUGUAAGCAGCAAUGGAACACUGCUAGGAUUUUUCUAUAUGUCAGAAAAUAUUUUAUACUUAAAUAUCAAUAUUGGAGUGAAACUUGUCUGAGCUGCAUUUUGGAAAUCCUGUAUUUUCUUACUGUCAUGUUUUGAUCUAUGGGAAGUUACAGCAAACUUUUUGUACCACUGAUUCUUUAACUCUAGCAAGCUCCAGCUGUAGAUACAUAAUACUCAUCUCCCAUGCUGCUCCACCGUGGUUAGCAAUCAACCCAUUGUCUUCCGCAUACAAAGGCUACUCCUCUAGUAAUCAGACACUGAGACAGGGAUGAAAUCAUUAUGGAAAAUAGUACUAGAAAGAACACAAAGACUCACAACGGGCCAAAGUGUCUCUGCUGCAACCCUUACUCCAAUUAAAAUAUACUGCAGAUUAGCUUGUCUCAGUGACUACUGAAGAAGGAAAUUAAAGGGACAAGCACACAUAUCAUAGAAGUUUAAAUUACACUUCCCUUCAGUGUAAUCUGAAAUCACUGUUAUGCUGUGUGGGAAUAA